GAAGGUGCCGAGGUGGGGUGGGGCUGGAGGGGGAGCCGCCGCUCGGAGAAGCACGGACGCGGUGCGGCCGCGCAGACCAUCAGUGACGCCGCGUCCAGUAAGCAUGAAAAGUCUCCCCGUCUCGCCCGUCUCGUCCGUCGCCCCCAUUCCGCCCCUUCCUUCACGGCAUCCACCAGAUAUUGAUCUUUCAAGGAAUCAACUUACUGGAAAUAUCCCCAAAGAAAUAGGAGCUCUGUCUUCACUAAAAGCCUUGAACCUCUCAGGAAACCACAUAGAUGGGAGCAUCCCUGAGGAAAUUGGGAACCUAGGGUCUUUAGAGGACUUGAUCUCUCAUGGAACGCUUUGUCAGGUUCAAUUCCUCUGAGUUUCGGAAACUUGAGUUAUCUGUCGAUCCUAAAUUUGUCCUACGAACGGUCUGUCAGGUAGGAUACCCACACAAGCACACAACUUUCAACUCUCGUGGAGGACUGUUAUUUGGGUAAUGCAGAUCUUUGUGGGCCUCCACUACCUAUAAAAUGUUCUCAGCACAAGAUCAGUCAUCAACACAAGAUUGACAGGGGGACAUACUUAUGUGCGAUGCUAGGGCUUGCGUACGGACUAUCCAUUGUUUCCGUCAUUCUCCUGUUCAGCACAAAUUCAAGAAAGACACACUUUCAGUUCACAGACAGUAAAUUGGAUGAAUUUCGAGCUGUAGUUCAGAUUGAGCUCAAUAGAGCCAAGGCAGGAAGAGACCAAUCCGACGCAAGGCGUGUUUGCAACCAGAACUCAAUCACUUGCUACGAGUUGGAAUUUGGGUCCCCAGCUCCAUGUCACUAAAAGUGCUCCAUGGAGCCUUCAGAUCCGAAGCCUGUGAUGCCCUCUCUGUAACCAAGCCAGGCUAGCCGUCGUCUAAGUAAAAAUGGUACCCGGGGAUGGAGAAGGAUGGGCCAUGUAUAACAAGAUGUCUUCUUUCUUUGUAAACUCUAGUUUUCCUGUGCGAGUAUCAAUGUUCUACUCAUUUUAUGGCCUUACCAAUGAAGAUUGACAUUUUGGAACAA